UUCACCACUUUGAUUGGCGACAAGACAGGUCGACUCCAUUUGCCUCCUCUCAUACAGUUCUACACGGUAUUUUACUACUUGGUCAACAGCCGGCGGGUCUUUGCCAAACAGGUGUCACGGGUCGCCUACAACCAAUUCUUCAAAAGUCAACAACCAGCAGUUUAUCCAUGAGCGCAAACUCUUGGCAUCAAAUGGGAGCAAACGGUGAUCGUGUCCUCCUGGUGAGUCAAGGAGAAGCAGGUGACAGACACAUAUCAGCCUCAGGUAACACCAUCAGAGUGAGGAAGGUAAGAGAGAGGGGUGAAUGAUAUGUAAGAAUAGGAGGGAAGGAGAGAGGGAUGGUGUCAGUUGCUCUUUUUUUCUUCCUUGACAUUAAACGUCCUUGACAUAGGUGUAAUGAUACUACUCUUACUCUUUACCUCUUCGUAACGCCACCUUCCUUUACCUUAGAUCUACAUGCAACAGACCUAUAUGUCAUGUGUUUGUGUUCAAUGCGAUCCUCAGCUGAACCUAAUCUUCCAUAUUCACUGAGCCGCUUUUAGCAAAAUGGAGAACCAAACGGCCAAAACUACAAUCAUCAUUUAUCGUGGUCUCAGAGUUGCCGUCAGUCAUUGAUGGGUUGGUGAUUCUCUCUCUCUCUGGGCCUCAACACUGACACAAACACCAUCACCUUUAUGGGAUUUAUUGGGAUCAGAGUGACACUCACAGCAGAUGUGCAACAUUAACAUUCAAAUUAGCUUUUAUUUGAAUCGCUUCACAAUGUUUGAACAUCAGGGCUCCACAUAUCGAAAGACAAUGGUGAAAAUUGGAUGGCAGGUGUGUCACCUGGUUUCACUGUUAUGUGAGCACUGGCAAAAAAACAAAAAACACAAACCGGUUUUCCUUCACCACUGAAAAGACAUGGCAACGGCAAACUGCCAAAAACAUGAGACAACAAAACCUUAUUUACAUACAACGUGCCUAACUUUGGGCCACGUUGUCGACAACAGUGUUUUGGGUUACACUUGGAAUAUAAAAGUAAAAAAACAAGACAUUAUGUAGUGACUGGACUUCCCAUUUUGCUGUUCCACAUUUACACCUGAAAUCAACACAUGUAACAUGUUACUUAAAUAACCGCUUCAAUUCAUUUUUAUGGGUGAUUGACCUGAAGUGAACCUUGCUCGUCAUGUAGGUUUUGUGAGGUGGUAAGAACUCUAUGAAAAGUGUGUAACUUGAUAUGAAAUACCACCGUUAUGUCUUCUUUUUAACCAGUGGAAACAAGAUAAAUUGAUAUUUACUUCAGGGUCAAUUGACUCCGUGUUCUGCAUUACUGAAACACACAAAUGUCUUUGUCUGCUCUAUUUUUGCUAGUGAUGCAACAUCCCUGGUGCAAAGCUACGGUGUGCAUUCAUCGUUUACCCAUUGGUGUAGUACACUCACAAAUCUUUAAUGUGAAAGAGAUUUCAAUGAUGGCAACCAGGACCAACAAAUGUUUUCAAAAAACUUUCUUUGUUUCUUUAAGUGAUUGCAACAUUGUUUUUUUUGUUUGUUUGUUUGGUUUUUUUUGGCAAUAUGGUCUUAAGAACAGCAAUUAAGCUUUGGCAAACCUGGUUUCUUUUAUGCUGAUAUUGUACUCAUUCUUUUUUCUUUGUUUCCUCUACUGCAAUAAAUGUCAUUCAUUAAUGGUCUGUAAAUGAAAGACAUUUGUUAACAAGUUUGAAAAUGAAUUGAAUGCUUCCUUGAUUAUCUGAAAUGAUUAUCUGAACACCAGAGAUGAAACCAGUUUAGUUCUUGACAUUAAAAGGCUCCAACUGUUGUGCAGCCGUUCCUGCUUCAA